AUAGGGGCUCAGCUGGGAUUUAGUACCCUGGUCCUUUUGGUCAGAUGUUCACUCCUGUUUCAGGUCUCACUUUAGGACCCACCUCUCAGCAUCUCUGCCGAGAAGGUCAAGAUGGUGCAACCUUGAAGAUGCUUACAAGGAUGGGCUGGCCUGGAAAGGCUUCUGCAGCUGGCAUAGCUACAGUCUGGAACAUCAGUGACGUUCAGGCAGACUUCCUGGAGGAGAUGGUGCCCCUUCGUGAGUCUCCUCUUGUCCCUUCUCUGUGGCUUCCACCCAGAACAAUGCCAAGGUCAGCCUCCCCCUGAGACACGAGGUCCGGCUUUCAGACCACCUGGAUAUCCACCCCAUCAUUGCUAGUGUCUCUCUGGCCAAAAUGAGCACCCCCCCCCCCCCACCCAACUUAGGGCAGAGGGGGUGCAGGCUCUGGAGUCAGCCAGGGCUUUGUUCACAUCUCAGCCUGGCCUUGUCCUUACCCUGGGAGAGGCCAUUUGUGGCUCCAGCUUUUGUUUCUGCAUCUGGAAGGGGGUUCCCUUCUCUGCAAAGAUGCUGCGAAGAUGGAAGAUAUGGAGCAAGGUCUGUGGAGGCCCUGGGACAGGCCCUGGGACGCCCAGGGGGCUCCGGGGGAGCUUAGCUUCCCCAGGAGAUUAGAUCCGGGAGAAAGAAGCUUGGACAAAUGGAAGACUGCUGAGCAAGGUGGAUUGCUGAGCAAGAUGGCAGGGGCUGAAUGGCAGCGCCCAGCCCCCAGUCAGCCCCCGGGACCCUGUCCAUAGUCCCCAGGAAGUGUUCAUUCUGAGACUGGACUUGCGGCCCAUGCCUCCCACCCCCGUGACUCCCUCCCUCCACCCCCGAACAGAACUUUGUCCAGGGGUUGGCGGUCCAGGCCCAGUUGAAGGAUAGCAUAUUCCAGCCAUCCUCGAGCUGGAAUGGUCAGGUGAGUUGUGUGGGGAAUUGAGUGGAAGAAGUUGUUAAAAGGGAUUUUGUUGUUGUUGUUUUCUUAUAGCUUCACUGAGGUACAAUUGACUUGCAGUAAUCUGCUCCCAUUUAAACCGCACAGUUUGGUAAGUUUCGACGUGUAUGUCAGGAAGCCAUCACCACAAUCAAGAUAGUGAACGUUUCCAUCAGCUGCAAGCAUUUCCUCUUGCCUCUUUGUAAGCCAUCCAUCACUUCACCCCUGUCCUCACGCAACCCCUGAUCUGCUCUGUACCGUUACAGAUUAGCUUGCCCUUUCUGGAGUCUUAUAUAAGUAGAAUCCUACAGUACGUAUUCUCUUUCUUUCCCUUUUUUUUUUGGCUGGGGGAAUUCUGG
rnacentral:lncRNA from 1 species